rnacentral:lncRNA from 1 species
ACAAGCAUCUUCAAGUUUGGUUUCUCCACUAUUGUGGUUGUCUUUGUUGAAAAGUAAGGUUUAUAAGAAAAGAGUUGUUGCUUUUGAUUUACUUGCUAUGUUUUAAGGCUUGCAAAUUGAUGAUAACACAAGCAAUCUGUUUUUUCGGUCAUGACACAUAUACAAGUGUAUGCAUGGACCUUAAUUUUAACAUGCUUAUAUAAAGGUCUGGAAUUUUAUGCAUUCUUUGAACUAUUAGGAACUAUUAGUAGUUUAAAACACUGCAAGCACCUAAUCCAAUUUGAGCAGCUAGUUGUUCAUGGUAAGUAAUAGAAUCUACCAAUAAAUAAUGUGAUAUGAUAUAUUGAUUUAGCUGAUUUUCACUAGCUUAAGAACAUUGUACAACCAUGGUAAGGAUUCCCAAUUAUGGGCAACACGUGAGUUUAUUAGGAUAUGGAGAAACUUGGAAAAAAUCAGAGAUUGCCCUAAAUAAGAAUACUUGAUGAAGGAGGAUCCAUAAAGCCGACUCAAAAUAGUUGUAAAAAGGCUUGAUGAUUAUGAUGACUGUGACAUGGGCUUGCCAAGCUAUACAAUAACCAAAGCUACAGGAAUUUAGAACACAUCAAGAUUUGUUAACAUGCAUCUACAAGUAUACAUUUAACAAAUGUGGAUCUUAGGAUUGGUCUUAGGAUGACCGACAUUCUAGGUAUAACUUG